CACAGAACUGCUCCUUCACCAUCAAGCUGUUUACACCCACAGAACUGCUCCAUCACCCACAACAUGUUUACACCCACCGAACUGCUCCUUCACCCACAGAACUGCUCCUUCAUCCACAGAACUGCUCCUUCACCCACAGAACUGCUCCUUCAUCCACAGAACUGCUCCUUCAUCCACAGAACUGCUCCUUCACCAACAAGGUGUUUACACCCACAGAACUGCUCCUUCACCCACAGAACUGCUCCUUCAUCCACAGAACUGCUCCUUCACCCACAGAACUGCUCCUUCACCCACAGAACUGCUCCUUCAUCCACAGAACUGCUCCUUCACCCACAGAACUGCUCCUUCACCAACAAGGUGUUUACACCCACAGAACUGCUCCAUCACCCACAA
ensembl:lncRNA